UACGUAGGGUGCGAGCGUUAAUCGGAAUUACUGGGCGUAAAGCGUGCGCAGGCGGUUUUGUAAGCCAGAUGUGAAAUCCCCGGGCUUAACCUGGGAAUGGCAUUUGGGACUGCAAGGCUGGAGUUUUGCAGAGGAGACUGGAAUUCCUGGUGUAGCAGUGAAAUGCGUAGAUAUCAGGAGGAAUACCGAUGGCGAAGGCAGGUCUCUGGGCUGACACUGACGCUCAUGCACGAAAGCGUGGGGAGCAAACAGG
rnacentral:rRNA from 1 species